rnacentral:rRNA from 1 species
UUGGUCAUUUAGAGGAAGUAAAAGUCGUAACAAGGUUUCCGUAGGUGAACCUGCGGAAGGAUCAUUAUUGAAAUAAACCUGAUAAGUUGUUGCUGGUUCUUCAGGGAGCAUGUGCACACUUGUCAUCUUUGUAUCUCCACCUGUGCACCUUUUGUAGACCUUGGGAAUCUCUCUGAUUGCUUUAGCAACUCAGGAUUGAGGAUUGACUUUCUGUCUUUUCUUAAAUUUCCAGGCCUAUGUUUUUUAAACACCCUAAUGUAUGUUUAUAGAAUGUAAUCAAAUGGGCCUUUGUGCCUAUAAAUUGAUAUACAACUUUCAGCAACGGAUCUCUUGGCUCUCGCAUCGAUGAAGAACGCAGCGAAAUGCGAUAAGUAAUGUGAAUUGCAGAAUUCAGUGAAUCAUCGAAUCUUUGAACGCACCUUGCGCUCCUUGGUAUUCCGAGGAGCAUGCCUGUUUGAGUGUCAUUAAUAUAUAUCAACCUUUUUUGGUUGGAUGUGGGUUUGCUGGCCGCUUUUUGAGGUCAGCUCCCCUUAAAUGCAUUAGCGGACAAUAUUUUGCCAAACGUUUCAUUGGUGUGAUAAUUAUCUACGCUGUUGACGUGAAGCAAAGGUUCAGCUUCUAACAGUCCAUUGACUUGGACAAUUUUUUAUUAUUAAUGUGACCUCAAAUCAGGUAGGACUACCCGCUGAACUUAAGCAUAUCAAUAA